AUCCCCCACCAGUUCUCUGAAGAAAUGGCCCAGCCAUCCACUCAUUAUCCACUUGGACUUCUAUUCAAGGACGAAACACAAACUGCCGACCUGGUGGAUGUGCUCCAGCACCUUCAAAAGGAGUAUGUGCCAAGAUGUCCUGAUGGGCUUGAAAAGAUUUUGAUCGGGGGUGACAGACUGACAGAGGCCAAUUCCCGGAAUAUCCAGUUGGCGUUUGCUGAUGGGGAGACGGAGGAGGACCGCCUGGAAGGCCUCUGUGUCAAAUAUGAAGACUGGCACGCAAUUCGAAAUCUCUUUGAGGUCGGUAUUGUAAUCAUUAACUACAUGCACCCUGAUACACAAUUUAUAUUUACAAAAAGCACAUAAUGUUGAUUUUUUUAUGAUUACAAUACACUGCCUUCCAAGGCAUAGAGAAGUAAUGAUG